GGGAUUGUAGUUCAGGGGUAGAACGUUUCAUUCGCAUUCGAGAACUUCCGAUUCUUGAAAAGGUCCCCGGUUCAAAUCCGGGCAAUUCCA